UGGAGAUUCCAGCCGGGCCUGCGCUUAAGUGCGCGGUCUUGUUAGGCUUGUAAGUUUCUUUCUUGUUAUUCCAAACGGUGAGAGAUUUCUGGGCUUUUGUUUUAGGCCAAUUAAAACCGUUUCAAUACAACCCACUGGGGAGUUUUCAUUUUUUUGCAACUUUUUUUUUGGGCAUUGGAGCAAUCGGGGCCCAGAGGUAACAAACACAAACAAUUUUAUUUAUUCAUUAAAUUUUUGUCAAAAACAAGAAUUUUCGUAACUGGAAAUUUUAAAAUAUUAAAAACUUUCAACAACGGAUCUCUUGGUUCUCGCAUCGAUGAAGAACGCAGCGAAAUGCGAUACGUAAUGUGAAUUGCAGAAUUCCGUGAAUCAUCGAAUCUUUGAACGCACAUUGCGCCCCUUGGUAUUCCAGGGGGCAUGCCUGUUUGAGCGUCAUUUCCUUCUCAAACAUUCUGUUUGGUAGUGAGUGAUACUCUUUGGAGUUAACUUGAAAUUGCUGGCCUUUUCAUUGGAUGUUUUUUUUUUCCAAAGAGAGGUUUCUCUGCGUGCUUGAGGUAUAAUGCAAGUACGGUCGUUUUAGGUUUUACCAACUGCGGCUAAUCUUUUUUAUACUGAGCGUAUUGGAACGUUAUCGAUAAGAAGAGAGCGUCUAGGCGAACAAGGUUCUAAAGUUGACCUCAAUC
rnacentral:misc_RNA from 1 species